GGCCGAGGGCACGUCUGCCUGGGU
rnacentral:ncRNA from 2 species